UCCAGACUCCUACGGGAGGCAGCAGUGAGGAAUAUUGGUCAAUGGGCGCGAGCCUGAACCAGCCAAGUCGCGUGAGGGAUGACGGUCCUACGGAUUGUAAACCUCUUUUGCCGGGGAGCAAGCGUGCGUUCGUGAACGCACGUCGAGAGUACCCGGAGAAAAAGCAUCGGCUAACUCCGUGCCAGCAGCCGCGGUAAUACGGAGGAUGCGAGCGUUAUCCGGAUUUAUUGGGUUUAAAGGGUGCGUAGGCGGGAUGCCAAGUCAGCGGUAAAAAUGCGGUGCUCAACGCCGUCGAGCCGUUGAAACUGGCGUCCUUGAGUGGGCGAGAAGUAUGCGGAAUGCGUGGUGUAGCGGUGAAAUGCAUAGAUAUCACGCCGAACUCCGAUUGCGAAGGCAGCAUACCGACGCCCUACUGACGCUGAGGCACGAAAGCGUGGGUAUCGAACAGGAUUAGAUACCCGAGUAU
rnacentral:rRNA from 1 species